GACGAACGCUGGCGGCGUGCCUAAUACAUGCAAGUUGAGCGCUGAAGGUUGGUACUUGUACCAACUGGAUGAGCAGCGAACGGGUGAGUAACGCGUGGGGAAUCUGCCUUUGAGCGGGGGACAACAUUUGGAAACGAAUGCUAAUACCGCAUAAAAACUUUAAACACAAGUUUUAAGUUUGAAAGAUGCAAUUGCAUCACUCAAAGAUGAUCCCGCGUUGUAUUAGCUAGUUGGUGAGGUAAAGGCUCACCAAGGCGAUGAUACAUAGCCGACCUGAGAGGGUGAUCGGCCACCUUGGGACUGAGACACGGCCCAAACUCCUACGGGAGGCAGCAGUAGGGAAUCUUCGGCAAUGGACGAAAGUCUGACCGGGCAACGCCGCGUGAGUGAAGAAGGUUUUCGGAUCGUAAAACUCUGUUGGUAGAGAAGAACGUUGGUGAGAGUGGAAAGCUCAUCAAGUGACGGUAACUACCCAGAAAGGGACGGCUAACUACGUG
rnacentral:rRNA from 1 species